UGGUGGAGUGAUUUGUCUGGUUAAUUCCGUUAACGAACGAGAUCUCAACCUAUUAACUAGGUGAGCCCAUUGCCUGUACGGGUGAAGCUGGUCAACGUGCAGGUGGGCCGCAAGGCCUGCUUGUGCUUGGCUAGUGGAUCCUUGGUGGAUGGGCGAGCCUUCUUAGAGGGACUAUUGGGGACUACCCAAUGGAAGUGAGCCAAUAACA
rnacentral:rRNA from 1 species